rnacentral:rRNA from 1 species
UACGUAGGUGGCAAGCGUUGUUCGGAGUUACUGGGCGUAAAGGGUGUGUAGGCGGUUGUUUAAGUUUGGUGUGAAAUCUCCCGGCUCAACUGGGAGGGUGCGCCGAAUACUGAAUGACUCGAGUGCGGGAGAGGAAAGUGGAAUUCCUGGUGUAGCGGUGAAAUGCGUAGAGAUGCGGAGGAACACCGAUGGCGAAGGCAGCCCUCUGGGCCAACACUGACGCUCAGGCACGAAAGCGUGGGGAGCAAACAGG